UGCUGGAAAGCUUCUUAAGAAAUAAGCUCUAUAGAACUCCUUAAGAAAUAAUAACAAGUUGGGUAUGGUUUAUCCAAUCCCAGCUAUUCUUUGUGUUUGUGGCAAGAUCCGACUAUUCUUCCUGGCAUUCAGGCCAAGAUAUGCUGCUUGUUAUAUGCAUGUAAUAACUUCGUACAGACAAACAGGUACAAGGUACCAACAGGUGAAGGAUAGGCUCUCUCCAGAGAGGAGAGUGGCAGCGAGGGACCAAACCAGUCACACAGUUCAUCUUUAGGUUUUUUUGCACUGACCUAAACAAAUCUCCCAGCAGGACUCAGCAUCAUUUCUUCCUAAGUGAGAUUUAAUACCAUAUCCCCACUGUGUAAAAGGUGCAGCAUGCAGCAUGGAUAAAUCUAUUAAAUAAUUUUUAAAAAACCCUUAAUGCUAAAUACAAAUCUUAAAACCUGAAGAUAGUCAAUAGAUCUUGCAUGGUAUUCCUUUAAAAUGCUUGAGAUAGAGCUGCUAUUCAGAAGAAUAUUCUUGUUAGGAGCAAAAAGUCAAUUGGUCACCGACUGUGUUGAAUUUAGGCAAAGCUUAUUGUACCCUUACUUAAAUUAGGCUCUUCAGUGAGGUGCCUAAAGUUGGGUGCAGAGUGGAUUUAGCUAAAUUUGGUUGUGGUACCUGGCUAGUUGUCUGUUGGAGUCACUUAAUGGCACCAACAACUGUGACCUUACAGAGUGGGAGGUGACACUAUGGGUUGGUGCUCCACCAUACUGGAGCUCAUGGGGAGAGGGCCUCAUCUCUGACUCUGCAGUCAACCAUAAGCAGUGACAUCAGAUGUGACACACAGCAUUCCCAUUUAGGACUAGCUUUAGGAAGGAAAAUAUCUCUGCUGUGCACUGACAAACGCAGCUUAAAUGAAAAUGUUAGCAUUCAGGAGAAUUCUGGCCUGUGACCCAGAUAGUACAGAGGCAAACCAUUGUGUGACUGUAACUCGUUAGUAAAUGCAGUUCCACAGUCAGCAGUCUGCAAAAAUGCUUAUUUCCAAAGCAAGCUUUGGCUGAAGCUUUCAGGCUGACUUCUGUUUCAGAAGGGAAAUGUGAUACAGGAGCUAGAAAGGGCUUCCAAUCCCCACUUGCUGAUUUAUUUAUAUUCAUUCUUAUCUAGAGCAAAAUAAAUGCUGUGCAUAUUUUAUUUGCAAGUGAGGUAUGAUCAGUGAAAUCCACCAGAAAGCAGAAGUACAUGCAGCAAUGCCCUUACAAAUCUGUACUUACGGCAUUCAGCUAUGCAACCACUGCCCACAGUACGGAUGGACAGACUUCUCAUUUGUGGUUCAUUAAGAACUCUGUCUAAUCUGAAAAUUAUUCACAGUCUGGACUGGCCUUUGUAUUUAGAACUGUAUAGCACUCCAACAUGCAGAUUUUGUACUUGAAUCAGUGAUAAGUUUCACUGCUGCCUGGUGGUUGUUGCAGUGUACUCCUUGUAGUGCAUCUUUAAGCCUGCUGGUCCAGAAGCCUUUGGGAUGAGACACAGCAGGCAGAGGCAGCCCAGCUCUGCAUUCCUUUGCAGCAGUCACACAGCAUUAUGUAUGCUACAAUGUGGCUGGAUGCAGUCACAUGGGGACUGUUCUCCAGAACAGGAUUCUUCUUAAGACAGUUCCUCUUUUCCCACUCCAGGUCUCACUUGUAAAACCCUUCACUGUGCAUGAGGACCUCUGUCCAAAGAAGUCCAUGUGGGUUUAAGACCUCAGCUUGAAUUGCAUAUUUAAUUCUAUAAAGAUUAGACCAUGCUGUAAACUGUGGUGCUGGCUUUAGCUGUCAAGGUCCCACAGCACAUCCUGAACUCCUGGUCAACCAAAUUGAUGAAGAAGACUUUAUACAGAGAAGCAAUGGCUUCCCCUAGCUAACUCCAUUGCCGUACCCUUAUUCUCGUGGUGUACCAUCUUGUCCUGUGAUUGGGUUUACUUCUUUUAAGACAAUUACUUUACAUUAGGUGUCUAUAUAACCAAGAGUAAGUAUUUAAAAUUUUAGUGCUUGGGUAAGACUAAUCCAUGCCUAAUUUGGCUUGUAGGAUAUUUGGUUUGCAAAAAAGUGCCACACUUUCCGUGCUACUUUCUACAGACUGGUGAGCACUUAAGAAAGAAAAGAAAAAAAAAACACUUAGCAGAUAGACAAGGGAACAGCAUUGAAAGCCUUAAUGGUCUAUAUGUUGUGAAUGGCAGCAUCCAGAUUUUGUCUUGCCUAGUUCUGUGAUUUAACAACAAUUUUGUCACCCCUCUGGAACUAAGAUCAUAAGCCCUACUCCUAGAAAGCAAAUUUCAAUUCUCCCUGCUCAUUCAAAAUAUUUUCCCCAAAUCUAAUAUAUCUAAUGCUUUUGUAAAGAUAACAGCAUUUUUCUGUAAACAGCAAAUAUAUUUUAAAAGUAGUUUUCAGUGGUGAAAGACUUCAAGCUGUUUUCUUUCAAAAAUAUAUGUGGAUAUCUGUUUUGUUUCCUUUUGUUUUUCUAUCCUAAGAGUUUCUUUGCAAGUAGGUAUUUGCCAGUGUUGAAAAUAGAAGCACACUGUUUUGGGUGUGCAGUGAAAUUAAUUUUUUUGAGCUAAUGUCCUCCAGAAUCAGGGUCUGAAUGAAGCAAGGUUGGGGAAGAAGUCUUCAUAAAAGCAACUGGAGUUAAUUGUUCCUUGCAUUUGGUUUAAGAACAAUUUAUCCAGUUUGAUCAAGUUCAUACAACCAACUCUAAACCAGUCAAAGUCAAUGGCAAAACAUUCAGUGAUGUUAAAUGGUACCAUAUUAGAUCCAUGGUCUUCUUUUGCCCACCUCACCAAAAUCUAAUGGUUUAAAAUACACAGAAAGAGCAUUUCCCAGCCAAAGCUGAUGGAUGCACAGUGACAAGCCACAGCAAACAGAUGGAGGAGAGCAGGGUGAGCGAGACCACCAGGCAGCUUUGGGUUACCAGGAGAUGAAAGUCUGCCACCAAAACCAAACACAACCAGGACAAUGUUGGCAGAAAAGAUAAGAUGGUACGUGCUACACCAAAGCACCUCCACAGCUUUGAUGCAUGUCUUGUUCUGCAAGGGCUGCCAGGCUGCAGAUCAUUGAACAAGACAGCCUGCCUUCAGGGAGCAAGCUCACCCAGAUCUCACCCUGCACAGCUUUCUCUUGCCUCCAGAUGAACACAGUCCUUGGCUAAAUGUUGUCCUUUAAAAAUUCAAUACAUAGGUAAAUAUAUAUAUUCCUGUAUCAAGAAACUAAAUUGUAAUGUUUCUAACUAAAAUAAAUUGUUGUC